rnacentral:rRNA from 1 species
UGGGGGAAUUUUGGACAAUGGGGGCAANCCCUGAUCCAGCAAUGCCGCGUGUGUGAAGAAGGCCUUCGGGUUGUAAAGCACUUUUGUCCGGAAAGAAAUUGCUCUGGCUAAUACCUGGGGUAGAUGACGGUACCGGAAGAAUAAGCACCGGCUAACUACGUGCCAGCAGCCGCGGUAAUACGUAGGGUGCGAGCGUUAAUCGGAAUUACUGGGCGUAAAGCGUGCGCAGGCGGUUUUGUAAGACAGGCGUGAAAUCCCCGGGCUCAACCUGGGAAUUGCGCUUGUGACUGCAAGGCUAGAGUGCGUCAGAGGGGGGUAGAAUUCCACGUGUAGCAGUGAAAUGCGUAGAGAUGUGGAGGAAUACCGAUGGCGAAGGCAGCCCCCUGGGACGUGACUGACGCUCAUGCACGAAAGCGUGGGGAGCAAACAGGAUUAGAUACCCUGGUAGUCCACGCCCUAAACGAUGUCAACUAGUUGUUGGGGAUUCAUUUUCUCAGUAACGUAGCUAACGCGUGAAGUUGACCGCCUGGGGAGUACGGUCGCAAGAUUA